AGUGAACGCUGGCGGUAGGCCUAACACAUGCAAGUCGAACGGCAGCACAGUAAGAGCUUGCUCUUACGGGUGGCGAGUGGCGGACGGGUGAGGAAUACAUCGGAAUCUACUUUUUCGUGGGGGAUAACGUAGGGAAACUUACGCUAAUACCGCAUACGACCUACGGGUGAAAGCAGGGGAUCUUCGGACCUUGCGCGAUUGAAUGAGCCGAUGUCGGAUUAGCUAGUUGGCGGGGUAAAGGCCCACCAAGGCGACGAUCCGUAGCUGGUCUGAGAGGAUGAUCAGCCACACUGGAACUGAGACACGGUCCAGACUCCUACGGGAGGCAGCAGUGGGGAAUAUUGGACAAUGGGCGCAAGCCUGAUCAAGCCAUACCGCGUGGGUGAAGAAGGCCUUCGGGUUGUAAAGCCCUUUUGUUGGGAAAGAAAAGCAGCAGGUUAAUACCCCGCUGUUCUGACGGUACCCAAAGAAUAAGCACCGGCUAACUUCGU
rnacentral:rRNA from 1 species